CUUUGGCGUAAAGUAUGGCGAAAUUUCAGGCUGGAGGAAAGCAAGGAUCAAGUCUGCAUUUAAUGUUAUCGUGCAAUUGUUGUUAUGACGAGAAGUACGCGCAGCUUUAUGCUACCGAGCAGGAACAAAAUGUGGCUUAUUGGGAAUCUGUCAGAUUUACAUCCAAUCAAAAUGCUGAUGCUGUGUGUUUCAAGUCAAGCUUUUUCAUAUUUGGUGCUUAAUCGCAUUGCUUGCUGACAGUGUUUCAUGGUCAAUGAGAUAAUACGUGAUUUUGUAGGCUAUUGUAAAAAAAGAAGAGCAUUGAAAAUUUUCAACUAAAGAAGGAUGGCUGCUUUGCACAGUUUGACAUUAUGCUGUAGCUGACUGUUAUUCUGAUGGGUUCUACUCCCUGGUAAGGCGUGAGCAUUGAUGUUGGCUUUUUCCCAUUGCAAGUGCCUACAAUCUGUGAUGCACCUUGAAUAACAUUCUUGUGAUAAGAUGGUGAAAUGAUUUAUGGGUUUGGAAUAAUAACAAUUUCCUUCUUUACUCUUUGAACUACAGAUUCCUUAUCACCUAGGUGAAAUCAGCAAGCAUAUGUAUAGUUAAAAACCAUCCAAAGGAAUGGGGCAAAUCAGCCAAAGUUCAAAAAGCCAUUUAAUGACACUGUACAUAUUUGAAGUAAUUUCUUGGAGGGAGCAUUAAAAUUUACUUUAAUGUAAAUGUUGAAUUAUGCUGCAUGUUAACAUAACAUUUGUAAAGUUCCUAACUCUUUUGGAAAAAAAAAAAAAAUAUUUGUUGAAUGCUAUUUUUACAUUGUUUUACAUCUGAUUUGAAUCUUCUGAAAUUUUCAUCUAACAAAGUGAAAAUAUGUUGCCAAUAUUAAAUAAGUUGAUCAUUUUGUUUCACAUUAUUACAUAUAUUAAGGCGUAAGUUUUUUAUUAUAGUGGCAUAAUUUUUUUAGAACUUCAUUGCUUUGCUUGCAUAUGUUUAUACAGUAAGUGCCCUCUAACCAUCAUGGGAUUGGUAAUUAAACAGACUGAGAAUAAAAUGGUUUAUCAAACCAAACUAUAUUGAGUACAGCAAACAUCACUUCACAAGAUUAUAACAGUAUUUAUUUGUUAUAGAUAAGUGAAAAGAUUACAGGAUCAGCUAAACGUAAUUUAUUCUACACUGCUGCUAUUGUUUUGCAGUUAUGGUUAUAAUAUAUAUUAUGUUACAGUUACAUAUGUGACAUCUCCUUUUUUUUUGAUAGAAAUAAAAAGAUUAUACAUACUGUUUUAAAUAAUAAGGUUUUUUAACAGUCCUACCAGGUUGAGUAACAUAGUUAUGUCAGUUUUCAAAAUUUGGUGAUACAACACCUCUUUGAGAAUUUGGUAGCACAACACUUCUGUUGCAUGCAGGAGAAUUUACAGGCACAUCUGAAUUUGGAGUAUACUUUUACCAAUCUCAGGUUCAUUCACAUUUUCAUGGCUUUCAUUAUCAUCCAGUGGGUGAUCGGUUAACAAACAAAUCGGACAACGAACACUUUCACGAAAGAUUUUUGUGUUCGGAUAACGAAUUAAAAUAAAUUCUAACGAACACUUCUCGGCUCUUGGACCAUAAUGUGCAGGGUUGUCAAACCCAACGGACCAAAAAUAGUUUUUCAUCUCACUUGAAUUAUGUUGCUUGCCUUAUAAAACUUCAAAGUUCUAAAAUGGGGGAAAAAAAAAAAAAAAAAAUUCCAAUAGAAUAUUUGUAGCCAAAGUAGGCCAUCAGUUUCAGUUUUGAAUGGCAAUAAAUAUUCUAUUGGAAAAAAAAAAUCAUUCUGAUUUCAUUUUGAGUGCCUUCCCCCCCCCAUUUGUUCAUUCACCGUCCCAUACGUAGUCUUGAAUGACUAAUUCCAAACGGCAGACUCCUUUCCUCUCACUGUGAAACAAUAUGCGUCUUCUUUCCCUCCCAGCUCCUUUUAUUCAUUUAUUCAUCUCGCUGAUCCAGCAAAUUUAUAAUAGCGAACGGAAGGAUAGUUACCCUUCAUUUAGAAGCAAACCACGACACAUUAUUUACCUCAGAAAAUGCAUGAUCAGCACUUUUUUUGCAAUAACACAUUCGAGGCUGUAGCAGUGUUUGAAAAUACCACUACUGUAAUUAUCACCUAUGUUAUUUCGUACAAAAGAAUGUUUUAAAAAAUUGAAAUAGUUGCCCAAAGUUUAAAAAAGUCGGCACCGCUUUUUUAAAAAUGGUCAUUUUGGUCCCUUUUUUUUGCAUUAAAAAGUCGCCAUUGGCAACCCUGAAUGUAGUAAUAACACAUAUGUGGUGCUAACGUGAACUAUAUCAUGUAGCAGUGAAGUAUGAUUUGGUUUCCCACAUUGUUACAUAUCGCAGCAUAGCUAGUGUGCACCGAAACUUUGUCAAUUGUGUACGCUAGUUGGUUUCUGUUCCUCUAAAUUUUUGCAUGCGUUUUUCUGAACCCUUUAUAAAAAACUGAAAAUCUGACAAUAGUAUGGGUCCCAAAAAGUGUGGAGUGCCAAGAACUGUGCUCGCCAUAAAAAAUAAGCAAGAGAUUAUAGCCAAAGUAGAGAGUGGACAGAAGAUGGCUUAAACAGGUCUACAAUAUGCACCAUCUUAGCUAAGAAGUAUAUCAUCAAGAAGACUCAAGCAUCUAAAGGAGUAAUGAAAAUCACAUCUGCGAAGCAAAGAAGUGCCUUCCAUGAAAAAAUGGAGAGGUUUUAGUUUGGAUAAAUGAACAGGAAAUGAAAAGAGAUGCAACUAGUAUGGCUAUCAUUUAAGAAAAGGCUAGAGAAAUUUUUGAGAAACUGAAAGAACAAACUCCAGGUUCGUUAUCCAAGGAGUUAGAAUUCAAGGCUACUACUGGUUGGUUAUUUAAAAGGAGACCUGGAAUUAAACAUGUAUUAAUGCAUGGUGAGUCUGCUAGUGCAGAUAAAGAAGAAGCUGAGAAGUACUGUCUCAAAUUUCAAGAAUUCAUUGAAACAGAAGGGUAUCGUCCACAACAAAUAUUUAAUCCUAAUGAAAUUGGUUUGUUUUGGAAGUGCAUGCCGAACUGUACCUACAUCACGAAAGAUUAGAAAAGUGUUCCUGGGCAUAAACCCAUGAAAGACCAAUUGACGUUACUUUUGAGAGCUAACGCUAGUGGUGAUAUGAAGCUUAAACCACUUUUCGUUUACCACUCUGAGAAUCCUAGAGCAUUAAAAAAAUCCAUAAUCAAAACAAGACUGCCAGUAAUGUGGAAAUCGAAUCAGAUGGCAUGGGACAUUGACUCUUUUCAAAGAAUGGCUGUUUAAAGUUUGUGCCCCGAGCAUCAAGGACUACCUUAAUACCAAUGACUUGCCACUGAAAGCACUGCUACUAUUGGGCAAUGCACCAGGAGACCCAAAGGGCCUUGAAGAUAAUUUGCUGCCAGACUUUCCCGGGUUGACCAUUCAGUUUCAACCUCCGAAUAUGACUUUGCUGAUUCAGCCAAUGGAUCAGGAGGUUAUUGUGGGCUUCAAGAAAUUGUAUGCAAGAAAUUGUAUUUUCAAGAAAAUGCUAUUAAUCACUUCUGGAAAAUCCUGAAAAAGACAGAAAAGCAAUCGACAUUGGACAUGUUCUUUAACGCCCCAUAAACAAAAAAUGAAAAGGACUGAUUAACAUACAAGACUGUAUGUAUUAUUUUUUAAAUAAACUUACUAAGAAAGUAUACAUCCCUUUUUUAAAUGUAAUUUUUAGGGUCUCCAGAACGAACUAAUCGAUAUCACAAAAAAAUCUAUGGUAAAUUGAUGAUCGGUUAACAAACAAAUGGGAUAGCGAACAUAGUCAUGUAACAGAUUAUGUUUGUUAACUGAUCACCCACUGUAAUUGUUUUGCACUAUGAAAUCUUUUCAUUUAGUUCCUUUAAGAAUGUCUCUCUUUUUUCCCUUCUGCAAUUCUUCCAUCUGUUCUUACAAUCCUGUAUGAGUGUGGUCUUUCUACUGCAUCUAUAAUUUUCCCACUUUUUUUUUAGUUUUUUUCCAUCUUAUUUGUAUACAUCAUUGGUCCAGGAACUACCUAGGAUUAAUGAUCUUAUAUUCCUAACAUAACAUCUUUUUUGUAAAGCUUGUUUCUUCAGUAAAUGUUUUUGCUCUUUGUAGUGUUUAGUUAGGAUGAUGUUCUCUUUUACAGGCACCAAUCCAUGAACUCUUUUCCCAAACUGUUUUGUAACUUCUACACUUGACACAUCUCCCAAAUGUCUAAUUUCAACACAUUUGUUAAGGUAGUACUGCCCAUUAGAUAUGCCUAUUGCUAAGGUAGUACUGCCUCACUGCCUAGAAAGUAAGAGAGUUCUGUUUCCAGUACUUCCCAUGGACUAUUAGGUAUUUCUUUAGAUAUCAUUGGUUCUUUACUUUUAGCUUUUCAGAAACUCAAACAUAUUGGACAAUUCAGAACCAAAUCUUAAUUUCUUUUGACAUUUCUGGCCAAUCCAUUUGCUUUUGAAAUUUCUUUGAAAUUAAAAUAUAGUUUUGCCAGCUCUGGGACCGUACGUUAUUUAUCUGGCCAUCCAUUUUAAAUUAAUUUUCUUAAAACUUAGUUUGUCUUUUUCUGUUUCCUGUUGAAAAAUUUCUAAUGCAUCAGCUAUAAAAAGUUCUUUUCCUGAUUUAUAUUUUAUCUCAAACUGAUAUGGCUGUAAUCUUAACACAUUCUUUGUAAUCUUGCUGGACAUUUAAUUAAUGGCCUUUUUCAAAAUUGAUGCCAGUGGUUUAUGGUCACUUUCAACUAUAAAACACUUACCAAAUAUGUACUGGUGAAAUUUCUCAUAUGCAAAUACAAUAGCUGAAGUUUUCUUUUUUAUUUGAGCAUAAUUCUUUGGUGUAUCCUUAUAUAUACCAUUGGUAAAUUAUUCUGUAAAAAGACUAUUCGUAGUCCUUGAGGUGCAUCUACAGGUAAAAUUAUUGGCAUGUUCAGAGGCGUAGCUAAGAUUUUCAGCGCCCGGGGACACCUAAAGAUUUUGCGACCCUUUCUGUGUUCCAAGAAUGGAAAACAUUUCACUCUGAAAUGUGUAUCAUCAAUUUGGCGUCCCCUGGAUGCUGCGCGCGGGGACGGAUGUCCCCCCUUGCACCACCCUAGCUACGCCACUGAGCAUGUUUGUAUUGUACUGUGAAAAAUGGUUUAUUUACUAAGAGAUUUUUUUUUUAGCGUAUUUAAUGCUUUUUCACAUACUGCAUUCCAGUUCCAGACAAUCUGCUUUUUUCAACAGAUCUUCUUACACGAUACAUUAGCUAUAAAUCAAGAAAGGAAAGAACUCAAGAAAAAGAAAUGCUAAUUUUCACUGUGAAAUUUGCAGCAAGAACUUUACAACAAAUUUUUCUUUGCGUCGGCAUCAUGCAAUUCAUAAUCCUGCAUUCCAUAAAUAUGAGUGUAGUGUGUGUUUUCGAAGUUUUAACUGGUUUGACAAUAUGAGAGCUCACAUGCAGCUAGUUCAUGGUUUUCGUUUUGAGUCAAAGAGGAAACGUACUAGGGAACUCUUAGAUCAAGGGGGGACAGUUUGAGUUUCAGGAUAAUUUUCAGUGUGAUUGUUUAAUUUGAUAUGCAAAGUUAUCAUUGUGAUUUGAUUGUGAUUUAAAAAUCUUAUUGUCCCUUGAGACAAUUUCCUACUUAAAUGUGUGAGGCUAUCAGUCUUCCACAGAUAAUAAUAAUAACAUUUCCCAAGCAUGAGCAAAAUAUGCAUUUAAGAGCAUAGUCGAGCAAACUGAACUUUGCAACUUUUGUAAAUUCUUUUCAUCAAAGAUUUUAAAUGAGGUUUUUGUAAUGACAGUUAAAAAGGAAUAGCAUUUUGUUACCAUUUUAUCAUUUCUCGACUCAAAGGUAUAGAAGAGCCAACAGAAAUAAUUUUUUUUUUUGUUAUUUCUUCAGUGUACUUUACAAGUACUUUUGGUAGCCAUUUUAAAGCAGUUUUGUUAAAGAAUCUACAAAUAGCCAUUUUAUAUUUUUAAUUCUUAAUACUUUGAAUUAUAUGCUUAAUAUUGAAGCCUGUGAAUAUUAGAACCCUAGAUGUGUUAGGGCUCAUUCUUACAUAAUUAAAUUUAUUUAAAAAAUUUUUACACAAUAUUUUGUGUAAACUCUUGUGUUUACAUCAUGGGUUUGUGAAAAAUAAAUGCUUUAUAUGUCA